UGGAAAUUGAGGACUCAGACUUUGCCUCCCUCUAGCCUCUCCCUUCCACUUUCAGUUAGAUUUCAGAUGGUGUCCAACUGAGAUUCAGAAAUGAAUUCUUCUUAUGAUAUCAAGCUUGGUGUUUGGAAAGAGCAGCCUGAACUUAGAAUAUAGAUAAUAGUCACUUGACUGGCAGAAAUGCAAACAUCAUCUCUCUAUCCAGGACAACACAAAAGCCUUUCUACAAUUCAUACUUCUGGGAAGUAAAAUCUUCAGGUUUUUGAUAA